CUGGUGAACAUGCAAAUCUGGCAUUCCCUUGACUGGACAUAUUAAUGGAAAAUUAGUUAAUAAACUGCUCUAGUUGGUAGAUCUAGACGAAGCGAUAAACGUUUUUGGUUGCUUUGAACAUUUUAUUUUGUGUUUUUCUUCUUGGAUUCAUUCAUGCCUCUUUUUUUGAGUGGUUGAAAAUCAAAAUUUUUUCUAUUAAUAUGAAUAUUUUUUUUAGCUAUUUAGCUUAAAAUUGCAUAGUUAUUGGUACAUUUGGAAGUUGAAAACGCCAAUUUUCACUUGUUUUUUCUCAACUAGUUUUCAAUCGCUAAAAACUUUCGUUCAAUGUCGCAAAAAGCCUUUUUCUCAACAGUAGCCCUUUUCAAAUCAUUGAAAUUAUCCGGUUUUCUUUAACAUCUUUAACACUAUCUUCUAAAAUGUUUUCUUUCAGAUUUCCCUUGUAUCUCAAAUGUCUAUAACAUCCACAUGUAAUUUGCGCCGUAUUAUCAUUUUCUCUGUUUAACGGAAGAACCAAGUUUAAUAAAAUGGAUCCAAGUUUUUUAAAAUCAAUUAAUAAAUGAACAAUAUAUCUCCCUUAACUGACUUUCAUUCAGAUACCUCACUUCCAUACAUUCCUAACAAACCUCUAUUAAAUAAUAUUCUACUCUUACUAUAUGUUAAAUGCCUAACAUUUACCUCUUUUAUAAAAUUCAUAUUACUAUAUUGAUGAUCUGACAAAUUGAAUAUUAUUAUAAUAGAGAGCCAAGUUUUCUUAAUUGUCGCCCUCUGCCACUCCAACCGAGGUGGUUUUUGGUUGAUGAGGAGAG